AACGAACGCUGGCGGCAUGCCUAACACAUGCAAGUCGAACGAGAACUUCGGGUCUAGUGGCGCACGGGUGCGUAACGCGUGGGAACCUGCCCUUAGGUUCGGAAUAACUCCCCGAAGGGGAUGCUAAUACCGGAUAAUGUCUUCGGACCAAAGAUUUAUCGCCUUUGGAUGGGCCCGCGUUGGAUUCGCUGGUUGGUAGGGUAAAAGCCUGCCAAGGCGACGAUCCUUAGCUGGUCUGAGAGGAUGAUCAGCUACACUGGGGCUGCGACCCGGCCCAGACUCCUACGGAAGGCAGCAGUGGGUAACAUUGGACGAGGGGCGAAAGCCUGAUCCAGCAACGCCGCGUGAGUGAGGAAGGCCUUAGUGUUGUAAAGCUCUUUUACCCGGGAUGAUAAUGACAGUACCGGGAGAAGAAGCUCCGGCUAACUCCGUG
rnacentral:rRNA from 1 species